AAUGGGCGAAAGCCUGACGGAGCAACGCCGCGUGGGUGAAGAAGGCCUUCGGGUUGUAAAGCCCUGUCUUCAGGGAAGAAAAAAAUGACGGUACCUGAGGAGGAAGCCACGGCUAACUACGUGCCAGCAGCCGCGGUAAUACGUAGGUGGCAAGCGUUGUCCGGAAUCAUUGGGCGUAAAGGGCGCGUAGGCGGUUAAUUAAGUCAGAUGUGAAAACUCUGGGCUCAACCCGGAGAUUGCAUUUGAUACUGGUUAACUUGAGUGCAGGAGAGGACAGUGGAAUUCCUAGUGUAGCGGUGAAAUGCGUAGAUAUUAGGAGGAACACCAGUGGCGAAGGCGGCUGUCUGGACUGUAACUGACGCUGAGGCGCGAAAGCGUGGGGAGCAAA
rnacentral:rRNA from 1 species